rnacentral:rRNA from 1 species
AGGCCUUAUGGUUGUAAAGCACUUUAAGCGAGGAGGAGGCUACUUUAGAUAAUACCUAGAGAUAGUGGACGUUACUCGCAGAAUAAGCACCGGCUAACUCUGUGCCAGCAGCCGCGGUAAUACAGAGGGUGCAAGCGUUAAUCGGAUUUACUGGGCGUAAAGCGCGCGUAGGCGGCUAAUUAAGUCAAAUGUGAAAUCCCCGAGCUUAACUUGGGAAUUGCAUUCGAUACUGGUUAGCUAGAGUGUGGGAGAGGAUGGUAGAAUUCCAGGUGUAGCGGUGAAAUGCGUAGAGAUCUGGAGGAAUACCGAUGGCGAAGGCAGCCAUCUGGCCUAACACUGACGCUGAGGUGCGAAAGCAUGGGGAGCAAACAGGAUUAGAUACCCUGGUAGUCCAUGCCGUAAACGAUGUCUACUAGCCGUUGGGGCCUUUGAGGCUUUAGUGGCGCAGCUAACGCGAUAAGUAGACCGCCUGGGGAGUACGGUCGCAAGACUAAAACUCAAAUGAAUUGACGGGGGCCCGCACAAGCGGUGGAGCAUGUGGUUUAAUUCGAUGCAACGCGAAGAACCUUACCUGGCCUUGACAUAGUAAGAACUUUCCAGAGAUGGAUUGGUGCCUUCGGGAACUUACAUACAGGUGCUGCAUGGCUGUCGUCAGCUCGUGUCGUGAGAUGUUGGGUUAAGUCCCGCAACGAGCGCAACCCUUUUCCUUAUUUGCCAGCGAGUAAUGUCGGGAACUUUAAGGAUACUGCCAGUGACAAACUGGAGGAAGGCGGGGACGACGUCAAGUCAUCAUGGCCCUUACGGCCAGGGCUACACACGUGCUACAAUGGUCGGUACAAAGGGUUGCUACACAGCGAUGUGAUGCUAAUCUCAAAAAGCCGAUCGUAGUCCGGAUUGGAGUCUGCAACUCGACUCCAUGAAGUCGGAAUCGCUAGUAAUCGCGGAUCAGAAUGCCGCGGUGAAUACGUUCCCGGGCCUUGUACACACCGCCCGUCACACCAUGGGAGUUUGUUGCACCAGAAGUAGCUAGCCUAACUGCAAAGAGGGCGG